rnacentral:rRNA from 1 species
UACGGGGGAUGCAAGCGUUAUCCGGAAUCAUUGGGCGUAAAGCGCCUGUAGGUUGUUUAAUAAGUCUGUUGUUAAAGACUAGGGCUUAACCCUAGAAAAGCAAUGGAUACUACUAGACUAGAGUAUGGCAGGGGUAGAGGGAAUUUCUAGUGUAGCGGUGAAAUGCGUAGAUAUUAGAAAGAACACCGGUGGCGAAAGCGCUUUACUGGACCAUUACUGACACUCAGAGGCGAAAGCUAGGGUAGCCAAAGGGAUUAGAUACCCCUGUAGUCCUAGCCGUAAACGAUGGAUACUAGAUGUUGCGCUUAUUGUGCAGUGUCGUAGCUAACGCGUUAAGUAUCCCGCCUGGGGAGUACGAUCGCAAGAAUG